AUUGAACGCUGGCGGCAUGCUUUACACAUGCCAGUCGAACGGUAACAGGGAGCUUGCUCCGCUGACGAGUGGCGAACGGGUGAGUAAUAUAUCGGAACGUACCCAAGAGUGGGGGAUAACGUAGCGAAAGUUACGCUAAUACCGCAUACGAUCUAAGGAUGAAAGCAGGGGACCUUCGGGCCUUGUGCUCCUGGAGCGGCCGAUAUCUGAUUAGCUAGUUGGUGAGGUAAAGGCUCACCAAGGCGACGAUCAGUAGCUGGUCUGAGAGGACGACCAGCCACACUGGAACUGAGACACGGUCCAGACUCCUACGGGAGGCAGCAGUGGGGAAUUUUGGACAAUGGGCGCAAGCCUGAUCCAGCAAUGCCGCGUGAGUGAAGAAGGCCUUCGGGUUGUAAAGCUCUUUUGUCAGGGAAGAAACGGGAUUGGCUAAUAUCCAGUCCUAAUGACGGUACCUGAAGAAUAAGCACCGGCUAACUACGUG
rnacentral:rRNA from 1 species